GCAGGCGCGAAACCUUUACACUGCACGCAAGUGCGAUAAGGGGACUCCGAGUGCGAGGGCAUAUCGUCCUCGCUUUUCUGUACCGUAGGGUGGUACAGGAACAAGAGCUGGGCAAGACCGGUGCCAGCCGCCGCGGUAAUACCGGCAGCUCAAGUGAUGGCCGAUCUUAUUGGGCCUAAAGCGUCCGUAGCCGGCCUCGCAAGUCCGUCGGGAAAUCCACGCGCCCAACGCGUGGGCGUCCGGCGGAAACUCCGAGGCUUGGGACCGGAAGGCUCGAGGGGUACGUCCGGGGUAGGAGUGAAAUCCCGUAAUCCCGGACGGACCACCGAUGGCGAAAGCACCUCGAGAAGACGGAUCCGACGGUGAGGGACGAAAGCUCGGGUCUCGAACCGGAUUAGAUACCCGGGUAGUCCGAGCCGUAAACGAUGUUCGCUAGGUGUGGCACUGGCUACGAGCCAGUGCUGUGCCGUAGGGAAGCCGAGAAGCGAACCGCCUGGGAAGUACGUCCGCAAGGAUGAAACUUAAAGGAAUUGGCGGGGGAGCACUACAACCGGAGGAGCCUGCGGUUUAAUUGGAGUCAACGCCGG
rnacentral:rRNA from 1 species